rnacentral:tRNA from 1 species
GUCCCGGUAGCUCAGCUGGACAGAGCGCGGCACUACGAAUGCCGAGGUCCGAGGUUCGAAUCCUCGCCGGGACG